GGGGUCGACUGGUUUUGACAGCAGGAUUCCAUAACGGAGUAAGCAAGUCGAGCGCUGAAACACAGCUCGUAAAUCUUAUGUUUCACCAUUUAAAUGGCGAGAAUAACUACGCUCUAGCUGCAUAAUUGACUGAAUUAUAGUAAGUCUUUGCCAAGUCCCGGCCAGGCCGGGAAGCCGGAUGUCUUUCGAUAGCCCUUGUUGACGGCGAUCGGUUUUUAGGCACCAUAAAUGUCAACAUCGAAAUGCAAAAGUGUCGGUUGUGUUUUUCAAUAAAGACAAUAAGGGAAUCUUGGGCAGUUUUCGGUCACUGAUUCCUCGAAAAUUAAACGAAAACUAAGCUUGUAGAAAAUUUUGUUAUGACUUGUUUGGACGCGGGUUCGAUUCCCGCCGACUCCAC
rnacentral:tmRNA from 1 species